UACGGAGGGGGGCAAGCGUUGUUCGGAUUUACUGGGCGUAAAGGGAGCGUAGGCGGCGCGGUAAGUCGGGUGUGAAAUUUCGGAGCUUAACUCCGAAACUGCAUUCGAUACUGCGGUGCUUGAGGACUGGAGAGGAGACUGGAAUUCAUGGUGUAGCAGUGAAAUGCGUAGAGAUCAUGAGGAAGACCAGUGGCGAAGGCGGGUCUCUGGACAGUUCCUGACACUGAGACACGAAGGCCAGGGGAGCAAACGGGG
rnacentral:rRNA from 1 species